GGAGACUUGGCAGUAGACUAAGCAAUACUUGUUUUCUGACAUCUAGCAGGAUAUGAAUUUACAUGCGUUUUAAAACGAGAUGUUGGUUCUAAUCCACUUGGAAACAGACGGAGCUCUCUGCUUAUCAGCUGAUGCCAUUGUUGUAUAUGGAUACAGCAUCAAAUCCUGGCUCUUCUGGCACCAUUGCAUCUUUCUUACAAAUGGCAUAUCUCCAUGUCAGAAGUGGUAAAGAAGGAAAAAUAUAUCUUUCACAGCAGAAAGAGUGUGCUAACUUCAUGAUACGAUAAUGCCAGUGAUGUAAUGCUUUUAUACUUUAUAAAGAGAAAGAGAAUUUUUUGAUUUGGUCUUUUGAUGUGAAGCUAUGUUAAUUUUAAUAGCCAAUAGAUGAGCACCCAUUGGCUACCAGUCAGCAAAGACUGCAUUGUUCUAACUUCUUGGGAGUGGCAAAUUAUGAUUGUCUAUUGGUUCUCUAUGAGUACUAUAGAACUUUAAAAGAAUAAAUGGUUCCUGUUCCUA